GAAUAAUGUUUGAGAGAAAUAGGCCUUUUGUGUACAUAGAGAAAGUCUUAGAUCUUUGAGUUCAGCUCAUGAUGAAUGGGGGCAAAAACAAAAAUGUUGCAUUUAUAAUUUUGUUCAGUGUAGCUUGAACCAAUGCAGUCUUUUGGGGGGGCAGAGUCUAGCAGCCAUCAGAGGUACCUUAAGAUACUUCUGCUGGCAUUAGAGGAUAACUGGGCUGAUUUUGGGUCAGAUUCGCCCUCCGGACAAUUGUGGGAAUGUUCCUGAUCCAAGGCUGGUCUAAACAGAUUAGCUGCCCAUAUUAUCCUGUAGUGUGAAGGGCUUUCAGACAUAAUUUUAACACUACCUGUAUAAAACAUGUUUGAUAUUAAUGAUUCGAAAUGGGGAAGUGUCACAACUCCUGCAUCUGACACCUGAGUUUGACUGAGUAAGUGUGUUUUGAUUUGUUUUUUCCUUUGGGUGAGUGAGGCAUGCUUGGUGUGUUUUUGUUCUGGUUUUCUUCCCUCCCUUCUCUCAGUUUUUGAAUCUUGGGCUGGCUUCCUGGGUUGCCACAAGCUGCACCUGCUGGUAAUCACCCACCUGUUCCUGAUCAGCUAUCCCUACCUCUUCUUAAGGAGACGCCAGACAUCCAUUCCCUGCUGAUCGCCUGUUCAACCUGCUCAUCCACCCUGCUAGUUCCAAGCUUCUUGAGCCAAGAUCCAACCCUUCCAGCCACGCCAGCCAGCCCUCAUUUUCCAACUGCUUGGAAGGAGACACCCUGCCACAGUUUGCUAGCUUUGCCUCAAUAAACCCAAUAAACUAUUUAACUGCU